GAUGAAGAACGCAGCGAAAUGCGAUACGUAAUGUGAAUUGCAAAUUCAGUGAAUCAUCGAGUCUUUGAACGCACAUUGCGCCCCCUGGUAUUCCGGGGGGCAUGCCUGUCCGAGCGUCAUUGCUGCCCUCAAGCACGGCUUGUGUGUUGGGCCCCGUCCUCCGAUCCCGGGGGACGGGCCCGAAAGGCAGCGGCGGCACCGCGUCCGGUCCUCGAGCGUAUGGAGCUUUGUCACCCGCUCUGUAGGCCCGGCCGGCGCUUGCCGAUCAACCCAAAUUUUUUAUCCAGGUUGACCUCGGAUCAGGUAGGGAUACCCGCUGAACCUAAGCAUAUCAAUAAGCGGAGGA
rnacentral:misc_RNA from 1 species